rnacentral:rRNA from 1 species
GACGAACGCUGGCGGCGUGCUUAACACAUGCGAGUCGAACGGAAAGGCCUGCUUUCCCUUGUGGAUUGCGGGUACUCGAGUGGCGAACGGGUGAGUAACACGUGAGUGAUCUGCCCCCAACUUGGGUAUAAGCCUGGGAAACUGGGUCUAAUUCCCGAUAGGACUGCAGGGUGGUGCCUGUGGUGGAAAACGAUUUUCUAGUGGUUGGGGAUGAGCUCGCGGCCUAUCAGCUUGUUGGUGGGGUAAUGGCCUACCAAGGCGGCGACGGGUAGCCGGCCUGAGAGGGUGGACGGCCACAUUGGGACUGAGAUACGGCCCAGACUCCUACGGGAGGCAGCAGUGGGGAAUAUUGCACAAUGGGCGGAAGCCUGAUGCAGCGACGCCGCGUGGGGGAUGACGGCCUUCGGGUUGUAAACUCCUUUCGACCGCGAGGAAGCCGCCUGGUUGGAAGGGUGGUGACGGUAGUGGUAGAAGAAGCACCGGCUAACUACGUG